AAGUAGAAAUAUAUGUUUGGAGAGAAAAAAACUUGAUAGUUGUAUAAAUAUAUUUCAUGAUAUUUGUUUUUUUUAUUUUUUAUUUAUACUACCAUUCAGAAGUUGAAAGAAGUCUCUUAUGCUUGCCAAUGCUGCAUUAAUGAGAUUAAAAAUAUGGUAAAAACAGUACUGUUGUGAAAUAUUAUUACACUUUUCUAUUUUUAUAUAUUUAAAAAUAUAAAUUAUUCCUGUUAAAAUCAUUUGAAUAUGCUGAUUUGGAGCUCAGGACACACUUGGACACACCAAUUUAUACUUCUGCGUCGGGUGCGCGUAGUAGGUACGGCGUAGCAUACGCAUUGACGUGUACCAUACGUCGUACCCUUCGCCGUACCCUGACGCGCACCUCCUCAAAAAUGUAACUACGCGUCGCGACGACGCGGACUGCAAGAUCUGUGAUUGGUCGGCUUGGUAGUAUCACGUUUCCUCCUACGCAUUUCUGGAAUGAUCUUCUGCACUCUGGACUGCCCGCCAUUUUUAAAUUCCGAAAUUCAGUGAAGAGCCAACAUGGAAAUGGACCAAGUGACCGAGCGAUUAAUUAAAGAAGUGAGGAAAUACAGCCAGCAUGAUCCGCUCUCUUUCAGUCGCCAUUGUUCGUAGAAGCCCGCGAGGAUCGAGGAAUGUAAACACAGUGGAACCCGCUCGCGUCAACUAGCGUUUCGGCGGUGAAACUGCAGAGCAAAACAGACAUACGCAGAAGUAUAAAUUCUUAUGACGGCGUCGCCUAUGUGCGUAGCCUACGACGUACACUACGCCGUACACUCGACGCAGAAGUAUAAAUUGGCCUUAUUAUCAGUGUUAAAAACAGUUACAGGUCAGCUGAAUUCAUAUGCAACUCAUGAAGUCAACCAGCGCCAAUUCUUCAAUUCAGAAUUUGGAACAACCCUGGUAAGAAGCAUAAGGGAAAAAAAAAAAAAACACUGGACUCGAAAGGGCAGAGUCCAUUUUCAAGAUUUCCUCCAAGGAUGCAGUGAAAGUGUGCGGGGGGUUGUGUAUCUGUGCUACAGUGCGGCGGUGUGUGCUUGCUGAGAAUUGAGUGUGAUUGCACCAUCCCUCGUGUAAACAACCAACUCUGAAAGCCCUUCCUGUGAUUGACACCACUGGAAAUGCCAAGCAGAGGUGUCUUUUGUCUGCCUUCCCUUGCUUUCAGCAAACACCAGCACUCCGGGCUGGAAAUGAUCUCCACACAUAAGGAUAACAGCAGCUGUCUCUGACAGGCAAGUAUUUCUUGCUACUCGAACCAGCCAUUUGAUAGCAGGUUGUAGAUUAUUUCGAAAACAUGUUGAUGGUAUUCUGUUCUCGUUUCUUUUUUGGUGGUUGAUUCCUGGUUUUAUAGGAAUAGUCCACCCCUUUACUUGGCAUAUCAACUUGUGUCGAUUCAAACCCAAAUUACUUAUACUUUCUUCUGUAGAAUUCAGCUGGAGGAGCUUUGAUGAAUGUUUCAGCUGUUCUCUUACAAACAAAGAAAGUGAAAGAGGGGUUGUCAAGUUCCAAAAGGAACCAUAAAAGCUGUUUAUACAGCAUAUGACAUUUAUUAUUGAAUAUUUAUUUAUUUAUAAGAAGAAGAAGAAGAAGAAGAAGAAGAAGAAGAAGAAGAAGAAAGUCCCCAUUCACAGUCAUUGUAUGAAAAAAAAGAAAAGAAAAUAGGAUUAAUAGAAAGAAAGCCAACCAGUUUGGAAUGACAUGAUAGUAAAUAAUAAAUUUUAUUUACAAUGGUUUUGGCCA
ensembl:lncRNA